CCUACGGGAGGCAGCAGUGAGGAAUAUUGGUCAAUGGGCGGGAGCCUGAACCAGCCAAGCAGCGUGAAGGAGGACUGCCCUACGGGUGGUAAACUUCUUUUAUAAAGGAAUAAAGUGAGGCACGUGUGCCUUUUUGUAUGUACAUUAUGAAUAAGGAUCGGCUAACUCCGUGCCAGCAGCCGCGGUAAUACGGAGGAUCCGAGCGUUAUCCGGAUUUAGUGGGUUUAAAGGGAGCGUAGAUGGGUUGUUAAGUCAGUUGUGAAAGUUUGCGGCUCAACCGUAGAAUUGCAUUUGAAACUGGGAGGCUUGAGUGCAGUUGAGGUAGGCGGAAUGCGUGGUGUAGCGGUGAAAUGCUUAGAUAUCACGAAGAACUCCGAUUGCGAAGGCAGCUUACUGAACUGCCACUGACAUUGAGGCUCGAAAGUGUGGGUAUCAAACAGGAUUAGAUACCCCUGUAGUC
rnacentral:rRNA from 1 species